ACUAGACCAGGAGUACCGGUUCUCGUUAGAUCACCGAAGUCAAGCAUCAUUGGGUGCGGUCAGUACUUGGGUAGGUGACCACCUGGGAACACCGCGGGC